CGGCGGAGAGCGUUGCGGCCGUUGCGAACGAUGAGGGAGCGUACUGCGCUCUCCGGCGCCUCCCCCGCUCCUUUCCUCCCUCGGGGGGCAGCGGCCGCCGGGAGCCUUACCUGCGGCGGACAUGGCGGAGGGGGCGGUGGAACGCGAGGACCCGAUCGGCCCGGGGGUGCGGCGGAGCGGGCCGGGUCUCCGGCACAGGCAGGUGCGGCCGCAAUACGGCGUUGGAAACGGAAGCGGCUUCUCCGACGUGAGCGCCGAACUGUUUGGGAGCAGUGCGGCUGCGCGCUGGGGACGGGGGCGCCCGCCCGGCAAACGGGAGUCGGGCGGGCGGGGCCGAAGGCGGGGCUGCCGCUCUUUGAGCCGCGCGGCCCGCAGGCUGGGCUGGGAGGUGCGAGGCCGGGUUAUGAGCUGUGGGAGGUGGCUGUGUGUAUCCUCUGCCCGCUCCUUGCCCCGCCAGCGGGAGGCGAGGCUCUGUGGGUGCCCUCUACCCUUGUGGCUUUACGUGCGGCUCCCGAUGUUCUCACACUGCAGUGCCUGUUGGGAGCAGUGGCCCCGCGUUUCACCACGCAGUGCCUGGGUAGCUUCAUGUGCCUUCAGGUGCUGCCUUGGCUCUUCAAAAGCUGCUUGUUGGAAGGGAGAAAUCCAGUUGCAGAGGGGUUUAACGGCUGCAAAAGGUGGUGCUUGUCUUACAGGAGGGUUUCUGACCUUACGAAGUGAGGUAGCCGGGCUCCUAUCCUUACAGGAAUGCUUUGGCAAGGACAGAACAUAGAAAUUUCAGCCUUCCCUCCCCCCCCCCCCCCCCAUCAAUAAUUUUAUGCUUUUUGCCCAAUCCCUGUCUCCUUUAUCUCUGUAUGCCAACAACUCCUUCUUUAAAUUGUUUGAAAUUGGGUUUGUAAAUUGAGCUGUGAGUAGUUUAAAUAUGUGGAUCGCAUCUGUGUAAAUCUGUUGUUGCUGUGUAUGGUGGGGCUAUGGGGAUCUCCUCUCAUGGGAUGCAGCCUUUCUGCUUAAGCGCUCAGGACCAGCCUGGAGCAUAAGGGCACAAAGAUAAGUGAUAGGACAAGGGGAAACAGUUUUAAAAUAAAAGGGAGGAGAUUUAGAUUAGAGAUUAGGGGAAAAUUCUUUACUCAGAGGGCAGAGAUGUGCUGGCACAGCUGCCCAAAGAAGCUGUGGUGCCCCAUUCCUGGAGGCGCUCAAGGCCAGGUUGGAUGGGGUACUGGGCAGCCUGCGCUGGUGGGGGGCAGCCCUGCCCAUGGCAGGGAGGUGGAACUGGAUGGGUUUUAAGGUCCCUUACAACCCAAGCCAUUCUCUGAAAGGCAGGCAUGAACCUGGCAAAGGAGAGCCCUGCUCAGGUCCUUGAGGGCUGUGCUGUCAGAGCUUCAGCCCCAGAUGCAGGUGUGAAACUCGUCCCUAUGAAGGAACAGCAGGGGAGACUAAAGGGAAGGUGCCUGGGGCUAUGGAACAUGGUUUGAUAUGGGGGAAGGGCAUUUCAGAAUGGUACAAGAUGGUUUAUCCUUACAGGAGGAAUCAACAGUGAGGAAAGGGAUGGUUGUAACUAAAUUUGGGAGGAACAAGUAAAUCUUCAUAAUAAAUUUUGCUGUGAAGGGCAGUGUUUUGUGUGGAUGGGAGUGUGAGUGCAAGAAAUGGAGCACUAAUGAUGACUGGGCAGGUUACCCAGGCGGUAGAUGAAGCCAGAGGUUUCUGUAAGGAUGAGCCAGUUCUGCCUGGAGCAUUGGUGGGAAGGGGAUUGAAUUCUGACAGCAGCUACCACAAGGCUGUGACCUUGUGGGCACAUAUGUGUACGUGGCAGUAGCCGGGGAGUCUGGGAUGGACGUGGAAGUGCAGAUGAAGCACAAGUGUGUAACUGAAUUCCUCCAUGUGAAAAAAAUGGCGCCCACUGACAUUCAUCAAUGCUUGCUGAAUAUUGAUGGAGACCCAACCCAUGAAUUGUGGGUGUAAGCACAGUGAGCCGUGGGUGGUGCAUUUCAACAGUGGUAACAGUGGGUCACCUUUGCUUGUGCAAAUUGUUGUGAGCAUGGCAUGCAGGCUUUUGUUCAUUGCUGGCAAAAAUGCAUAGGUGAUGGUGGCGACAAAGAAUGUUUUAUAGCUGAGAAUUUGCUCAAUCAAAUAGUGUUAUUGUAGACUUCAUACCUGUUGUGGUUUCCAUGGAAAUAAAUGGGAGGCAUUACUUUUGGAGUGACCUAUAUGUGUAUCAGACAGCUAAUCUGUGAGAAAGCAUGUGUAAGAAUUACAUAUGUAUAAAAGGAAUGUUUAUAGACUUUGUCUUAUUUCUUCAUAAGCGUUUGGAGAGAACCUGAAGGAUUAGUCAGAAAGCUCUUCUCUCUGUGACACUGAUAGCAAUGUGGAAGACAAGCAUCUACAAGCUCCGUCUUGAAUGACAUCAGUGUGGUACAUCCAGUUUCUUAUGCAACUGAUUCUUCAUCAGAACAUGUCAGUGUUUGCUGCUGCUUCUUUUCACUUAAACUGCAGGUCUGGAAGUGCACUGAUUAAGCUAAGAACUUCAUUAUCUCCAAAAAACUUGAUGCGAGGGUAGAAUGCAUAAGUAACAAGGAGCCCAUCUGUUUCCAAAAUAGUUUUUUAUUUUCUCUAUAUUUUUUUCUGCAGAAACUUUUUUUUUUUUUUUUUAAUGAUAGGGCAAGAAUUUGCCUGGGAAGUAGUCCCUGAAGGUAAUGAUUUUGGAAUAAGUAGAUCUUGGAAGGCCACAGAGGCUGAAUGGGGCACAGAAACACAGACCAAGAAGCAAAGGAACCAGAGACAAAGAUAGGGGAUACUGCUGUGGAAAGGAAGUAGUCAGGGCAAAGAUAAAGAAAUGUGGAGAUGAAAGGUAAACAUUGAAAAAGUUUGUACAGAUAUCUGAUUUCUGUACUCUUGUGGGGCAGUGGUAUUUAGAAGAGCUUACAAGAGAGAUAUUUGAGAAAGGGGUAGGAGGAGUCCAGUCUUUAGGAAGUUGAAGCUAUAUUAAAAGGAAUUAUCCAGUACGCUAGAGGCCAUAAAACUUCAGUUUUGAAUUACACCAUACUGUUUCAGAAAGUUUUGUCUUGAUAUAAAGUGAUAGACAUUCCUCUAUAUUUCUACAAAUAGCGUUUCAGUGGCUUACUGAUCAGGUAGAAGGAAGGAUAGAUUUGAAAAGAAAACUCAAGGAAGUGGAAGUAGUCGGGAUGUUGUUAGAGGGAAAGGAGACAGCUAAUAAUGCAUUUGAGUCCAGGAGUGAGAAAACCUGAUCUACAAAGCAUUGAUUUUUCUUGGAUCUGUUUCCACAAGAUCUUUCCUGGAAUUAAUUUGUUGGCCAUAUUUUCUGUCACUUAGAUUUUGAUUUGAUUGUAUCCAGUAACCCUUAAAUUUAUCUUUUUUUAUCUGUUUGUGAAAGAACUCUUUUCAGGUUUGAAACUUGGUAUUUCAUAUUAUUGGGUAUUUCAGAUGAUGAGCAAGAUUCAGAACCAGGUCUGAUUACACACUUGUCUUCGUAGAUCCCAGAACUUAUUUUGUGCUUUGAGUUUACAAAGUAACAGGAAUUACACCCUAAACUUGCAUGAUCAGGAUUUGUUUGAUGGUUCAGCUGCCUUGGCAAAGUGAAAUGCACAGAAACAGAUCAUAGGAUUAGGAUAUUGUGGUUUGGCAUCAGUACUUAUAGGGUAUGGUCUAUAUUUCAUUCACUUUGCUUUGGAUCUACCUUUAAAUUAUCUGCCAGAACCAAUAAAACGGUGGAAGCUUGAAGCCCGAGAAAAGAUUCUAGAUGAUCCUUUUUUGAGGAAGUGAUGUUCUUACAUGGUAAUAAAACCAUUUGUUUUCAUUACUUUCAAGUGAAGAAUUUAUAUAGGGAAUGUCCAUCUGCUGCCCACUAAGCUUUUAAAGAACACCUAAAGGAGGUACUUUUAAAAGGAUGACAUUCAAGGAUGAACACUAAAUACAAGUAAUAACACCAUAGUCCCGUGCCAGCCUUUUAAAUAUAUUAAUGAACUCGAUCACUCAGGAACUGAUAUACUCCUACAGAUUUUGAAUGUCAUUUACUCAUGGAAGUGCUUUCAUCUGAUGAUUUCUUUUUCUGGCACUGGGGGCUUAUAAUAGAUCUAAGCCACCUGCCCCAGAUUCACUGUGACUGGUUAACAAAGUGGCCAAGCAACGGAUUUAGUCAUGUUACUUGCUUAGUUUUCUCAGUGUGAAUAUCCACAGGAAACUCAUUGAGUGAUUGAUUUUAUGCAGACAUCGUGUUUAUUUGAGAAAAAUAAAAGAGAAAUAGCCUUGCACUAAAUAUUGUAAAACCAUUACUAUAAAACAAGGCUUCUCUUAAUUGUUUAGUUGCCAUUGCCAAGGAGGCCGGUUUUUGUGUUUCAUUAAGUACCUUGCUGAGAUAUGCUAUUUCCAUGGGCUUUGUUAUUCUUCUCUUGGGACUGAGGGAGCAGUUCCUGCCUCUUCUCUGAGCCCACAGUGAAUAUAAAGGGAGCUGUAGAAGCAGUUGUCUCCUGACAGGAAUGGUUUAUGAUUUGCAACUGUAUCGUGAAAUAGCAGUAGUGAGGAGUAGUUGUGUACUAGCUGGAUAAAGUUCUGAUUUAAAAAAUAAAAUAAUAAUAAUAAUUAAAAAAAAGCAGAGUAAGAAUGAAUGAAAGCUACCUACUCAUAAUGUUUUCACUAACAUUGCUGUUUUGCAUAUCCUUUAUUUCAUUUUGGGAAAAAAAAUCAGAAAGCUUUCUUUGCUGUACCUUCUAUAGGAUAAAUUUGCUUUGAUGUUCAUAGCGGUUUUCUGAUUUUCCAACUCUGGGGAAGUUUAAAUGGCAAUGCAAAUACUUGAGUGGGAAAGAUUGUGUUUAACUAUUUAGCUGUUUUGUUAUCCCGACCUUGAGCCUAUGUUGGAGGAUAUGAAUUAAUUUCCUCUGUUUUCUCUCUUUCAGGAGUCUAUCCAGAUAAUACAUUGUGAAGCCAUUAUCCAUUCAUAAGGAGGUAAUUAAAAGUAAAUGUCUUCAGUCAGUGGAGCUGGAUAACUUGCAUUUCAGAAAUUAAGAGAAGUGCUGAAGAAUUGUUAUGACCAAUAAUGCUGGGCACUAGAAAAGUUUCAGGGGGAUGUUGUCAAGCUGGUAGUUAAAAACACAAUGGGGACAAGCUGGGUGGACAACUGGUCAGUCUGUCUUUAAUCCAGAAAUCAGAACACCUAAUACAUUCUUCUGUCAGCAAAUAAAGAAUUAAAGGAGAGAAAUGUAAUUAAUGCAAUUCAAAUAGCAUAAUGGAAAUCAGUGCUAAGCUUGCAGCCAGCUCUUGGCUGCCCUUUUCCCCAGGAGCUGCCUGGUUAGGGGGAUGGUCAGGCUGAGAGAAAGUUCCAGCUCCAAGAGGUGACAGAACUAACAGCAUAGCAGUUGGGAGAUCAAACUUAUAAAACUAAGUAAGUGUAACACUGCUAAUUGGGGAUGCGUGACAUACCCAUGAUCCAGAAAGUACCUGAUUAUUGGAAGCGACAUUUAAGCACCUAAAAACCCCCGUGUUCACGUGAAAGCUUCAAAACACCUGUGUGGGUGGCUGUCCAGUCCUGAAAAUGCUGUUACCUUUUUAACUGAUGAUGCUAACACUGCCCCGGUGCAGGCGUGCAUUGUGUUGAUAUCUCUGGGUCUGAAUGGUUGUCAUCCAUCUUCUGUGCAACGGGCUCUUGGAAAGGGCUGGUCUUGGAGAUUCGAUAAUGGGAGUGUUCCUCAUUGCCAAGAUGCACUCUCACAGUCUGAAUUUGAAACUGGUACUAAAACAGCAGUUAUGGCUAUUGCUUCCCUUUACUGGAAUAGCACAGUGGUCAGAAGCGUGUGUGGGUAGUGGGAAUCCAGCCCCACACACUGCAGGGAUGGGGAAAGCAGCCUCGCACCACCCCAGCACUCCUCCUGUGCUGCCUCCCCAAUAUACAGUGCUGCUGUGGGUGCAGCGAGGAGCCAAGUGCCAGGAAAAGGCAAAUUGAGAAGAUGGAUGGCUGUAAUCUAGUGACCAGACCAUUGGGGAAGUACUUUGCUUCCCAGAUGUGUAAGUGUUACAAAGAGCAGCAGAUGAAAGCACCAGUAGUACUCCCAAGAGCAGAUGCUAACAUCACUACUUGAAAAGAAUUCUUACAUUUGUCUCUUUUCUGAAAUAAGACUGGUGUGGUGGAUGUGGAAAUGAAGACAUUCUUCAUGUUUGCUAGUUCAAGGAGAAUCCCAUUUGAUUCAGUAUCUGCACUGAAUUGCCAAGCCUCUGUAAAUACCACAGGUAAAGCCUGGAGGUAACUUUGUUGCGGGGAUACAAAUGUGUGUAUUUGAAUUGCACCCUGCAGAGAGAGUCCCAGUGUUUUUGCUGCAGUGUCUGUGUUACAACACCCAUGUCCUUUUUAUCUUCCAAACAAAAAACAACCCUUUCACACUCUUUAGUCUUCCCACACACAUUCUCUGGACAGCAUGAUAGCAGUUUGGCUCUGCUGAGCCAAACACUGCAACCUGAGAAGAGCUUGUGUAUGCAGUGAUAGUGCUUAUAGUAUCUGGUUUGUAUUAUCACUGGAUGGGUUUGACUGUGGUAUGCUAUGUACACAUAACCAAUGGUACAUGCCAAAGCCUGGAUUUUGGAAAGACAAAAGUCACUGACUUCACAUACAUAAAAAAAAAAAAAAAAAAAAAAAAAAAGGGUAUAUCUUAUGAAGUCUAAUGUUUAAUUUUCUUCUCACUGAGCACAAAAAAAACCAGACAAGUGUGCAGCAAGCAGAUAAGAAACAGACUGUGUCUGCCUCUGUGGGCUAACUUCUUCCUACAGUUCUUGCUUAUCUGUAUUUCUGGAUUGGAAGAGGUGCAUAAUACAUCAGCUGAUGAUCUGCGUAACCAUUUAAUACUUGACCAUCUGGUUAAAGCAAGUGUUACGUAAACUGAUUCCCACUUGGAGACUACUCUAGUACCACACCCAUGGGGAAAUCUUCAUAUCUUUGCAAGGCAUGAUUUCAGAUAGCUCAGCUGCAUUCCCCAAGGCUGAUUUUUUCCACACUAAGGCACUAGAACUCUGUCUUUCAGCUUUUCUUUCCACAUGCAUUUUUUUAAGAACUCAUGUACGGGGUUGAAAAGCUACUGACAGAAUGACAGAUGAAACAAAAGCUGCUUCCCUUCCCCCUCACCUGCAGGCAUGCAAGUUUAGAACAUUUAGAGCACCUAGCUUCCAGGCCCAGACUUCUUGAUCUCCCAGGAACCAAACUGACUUAAGUUUAAGGGAAAACAAAGAUUAAAUAGUUUGCAGUGUUUAAUGCCCCGAGUCUUACUUUUGGAAAUACCAUACUUCUUGUUGAGUAGAUUAGAGUUCACAUUUCACGACAAGCAAAGGGAAGGUGUGAUUUAAUUGCAGUCACGUUUAUUUGCAGUUUCUAUACACACUUUCUAGGUAAUCAAACUUUUCCGACACAUUUUUGAGAGGGGUUCACAAUGAAACUGUCACCGUUUUUACUAAAAAUAAAUACAAGACUUAAAGUGUUGCACAGCUCUAAAAUAUACAAAGGCUUGGAUUUAAUGUAAACUUUGAAAACAUUUUACAAAAGAAACCAUCUUUGCAACAAUUUAAAAAGUUCAUAUUUACAAAUAUUACAAAAAUACAAAAUGGAUGCAAGUCCAUAAACCAUUGUCUUUUCUGCCAGCAUGAACUGGUGCUAGUACCAAAAUAGUUACACUGUAACCUUCUUAAUUUUUUUUUAAAUUCUUUAAGUCAUAACCUACAGUAUUUCUCUAUAUCUGCCACCACUGCAGCAAAUGCACUCAAUCACUGACCUUUGGCAAAAGCACAUAUAUGCUUUAUUUGCUACAACUAUUCCAUCUCCUCUAUGCUGCCACAAGAAAAAAAAAAAAAAGAAAAAGAAGAAAAAGGGGGAAAUGUUAUUUUUCAGAACAUACAACUGUGUAAUUUCUUUAACAUCAGUGCAAACAACAGAACAUAGGUUGAAAUGAUGGUUCACUGGUUGCCUAAUGCAUGUGCUGUACCCUGUUUCAAGAUAUACAAUGUUCCCCUCGACAGCUUGUCCUCUGACCAUUCUGUAUGUGAAGUACUGCCUCACAAUUGGUUUUUAGUGUUUAGAUAUUGAUAAAUGGCAUCUGAAAUUGUUGAUUGGUAAUAAAAAGUGUAUCACCAAUGUCAAUUCAGCUGUAUUCUCUUUACAGUUUUGAACAAUUUUUUAAACGUAUGUAAUGCCUUUUAGGACAAACGUUUAUAAAAGUGCUCUGGGUAAAACUUCUAUGGAAAAUGACUCAAGAUGACAAACCAAGGAUCUCCUCCUAAUAUCUAAGCUUCCUCGUGUCUUCCAGGAUGUGUUUUGUUAUACACUAAGCAAUUCCAUAGAACGUUCACUCAUUUACUUGUGUUUCGGCUCCUUUUCUUAACUAAGCUGCUAAUAAGACUAGCCAUUUACUUCCAAAACCUUGCUCCACCUGCUCUUAUUAAAACUGUUUCAGACUUCCCAAUUUUGAAGCCCUUUAGCUGAGGUACUACCCCUCUUCUCAACACACAUACCACAUGCACAGUGAUUCCACCUCACAUACUGCAUACAAGCAGACGACACAGGAAGACGGUAGGAUACCCUGAAUUACAUAUUUUGUAGUGUAUGCUAGACAAAAUGAGACAUAAACCUUAUUGGAAAUACCUUUGAGGAUUUGUUAAACCCCUCUGACUUGCACAAACUUUUAAAAUCAUAAGAACCUUCCUCUUCAAAACACGAUCUGCCUGCUUUUAAAACCCUUCGGCUUUAUGCAUUACAUGAUUAAAAGCAAAAAGAAAAAAAAAAAAAAAAAAGGAAAAACCCAUUUCAAACAUCCCACUUCCCUAUCAUUUACUUAUGCUUAAAGCCAGCUUUGAGUUGAUUUCUUUUGGAUCUAAGUACGCUCUUUCUGCUGUCCUGUUCAAUCUGUCCUACUGCGUACCACCUUUCUUCUUGCACUAUUUCUCUGCACUAACAUCCAUUCUAUUCCUCUACUCCAAAGGAUAUCCUACAACAAUCGACACCAACUGCACAAAUUUUGGACAAAGAGGGCCUUGUUCUCUGAGCAGCAUGGUUGGGCUAUGCUGUGAAAACAGUGGUGUCCCAAAGGAGAAUCAGACCAACAACUGGUUUUAUUUCAUUUAAAAAUUAAAAGUAUAAAACAACGUGUGGGCUGAGCUUAAAAGUACACAUCCUUUCAGUUUUAAGACAAGAAAAUUCAAGUAACUUCAAGUAAUUAAGCUUUUAUUUCCCUGCCUUCGUUUGUAUCAAAGCAGUUGCUUUGAUUUGUCUCUUCUCCCAGCCCAUCCCAAUCCCCCACCCUGCUGCAUGCUUCUGGUGAACCCAGACGAAACCCAAACGUCUGUGGCUGGCACAAGAAACCAGAGCUUUCCCCUUCGUAGUUUCGCAGUGAAUAUAAAUAAUGCAUACACAUACCUAUUUCCCAGCUACAUUUUCACAGUGUCAUUUUGGUAAAUAUUUAGGUAGCAUGAAUCUCAUCAGCACAAAGAGAAAGCUUCACUGAAAACUCAUCGCAGAUAUUUACUGAUAAAUUGAAAGCGCUUGUUGCAUGCUUAUCAUUUAUUUGUUUCCCUUAAGAACCAGAAACUAAUCAUGUUUAAAGUUUAUCAUUACCAGGUUAUGACUGUGUUAUGUAUCCCAAUAGCCUAAUAGGAAUAUGAAACUAAGUACUAUUUCCUCGUGUCUAUUCUUGCUAAAUCAAUCCCUGUUAGCACGAAGACCCGGGGGCACCAUCAGAUGGGACCGUCUGGGGCUUUGUGUUAGGAAUGACUUUGUUCUGUCAGAAGCACACCUGUAUUCCCAACCGAUGGUCGCGCUAAAACUCACAGCUGCACUUCUCAGUUAGCUUGUUGGGGCUAUGCUAGAAAGACAAAUGGUUACUUCAAUCCGAUCUUGGUCAGCUGGUAAUUCGUAGCUGAAGUGGAGAAUUCCUUUUGACUGCUAAAUGUCUUCUUUGAGGCUUAUGGCACCGAAAGUGGUUAUUGGUGGCCACGCGAACUUAUGUUUGAUAUGAAAAUGGUAUUCACAGAAUACAGUUAUUACAUUUGACUCCUUUUGUCUUCUAUAAACAAAGCUGUUAUGCAGGAAAUUGUUUGCCACGUGUCCACUCUUUGAUAGUUCUAUUUACAAAUUGUUAUCAAAAAUAUGGUAUUUACAUAUGUUCUGUUAAUUUCUUCUAAAUUUUGUUUCAGCUCAUUUUAGUGUAGAAAAAUACCAAUCCUCAAGAGCAUUUGCUUUUUUAUUUUUCUUCCUAGGGAAGCACUACAGUGAGGGAUUUGUUUUUAGAUGGGCAGCUUCUGGAAAAAAAAAAAAAAAAACCAACAACACAAAAAGCCACUUUGAACUCUAUGAAAAGUGUAUAGCUGUGAAAUAUACAGUGACAACAGAAAUGAGUGGGAUAAACCAAAUGAAGCUAAAGGAAAACAGAAUAGACAUAGCCUAUCUUUCUACUUUUAGAAAAUGUAAGGUCAUAAAUAGCUACAGCCAUAGUCCUCUGUUUCCCCAGCGUCCUACAAACACAAACACAUAUAAGCAUUGAUAUUGCCCUGCAAUUAUUGUUUUGACUGCUACAGCAUUGGCCUCUUCUAUUCACAUCCUCGCUCAGCUCACAUGGUGUCGGCAGUCCCUGGAGCCUACGUUGAGCUCUGAGAAGAGCGGUCAUCGUGUGGGCUGCCAUCUGAGUUCUCGGUCUCCCCCUCUGAGAUGGCCUGCAUCGGCGUGUUGUACAGCCGGCAGCGCACGCUGUACCUGCUGCUGCUGGCAGCCGGUGGUGCCCGUGAGCGCCCCACUCGUGAAGAUGCUGACAUGGGAAAGCUCUUGGAGGAGAAACCUUCUGCGUUGACCCUCGGUGAGCAGGGAGACAGCGGGGAUGAUGCAUCGGGGCUUGUCACCGGGGGACACUCGUCCUGGCUUUGGGAAGCAUCUGCUGUCAGCUCUCCAGGAGACUUGGGCAGAAUAGGGCUUUUCAGGAUUUCCGUGGCAGACAUCCUGUAGCUAGAAUCAGACCGACUGCCUUUUUUAAGGAGCAGUAGUUUAAACUCCUCGUUAGAUGUGUUAGACUUUUUGGCAUUCCUGUAUAUCAGCCCGGGGGAUCUCUGACUGUUCAUGGGAGCACCUGUGCUGCUGGCGGAUGAUGUGCUGCUGGCAGGCAGCGUGCUGCUGGUGGGCAGUUGGCUGCUAGUUCCAGAGGAAGCUCUCAGUCUGUUCCUUACAGACAGAUCUCCGGAGUCCUUUCUCCCAAGAACUUUCCUUUUUGAUCUGUAAAAAUACAAAGAAACACUUUCAUAUGCUAUCUUUGUAGAACAAUGUUUCCCACUAGUCUGAAGUUACAUGGAUUCACCGUGCUUUCAAACGAACACAGUCUCUCUUAAUCCCUCUGCCAAAUAUCAGAGGCUGUCAGUGACUGACAGCACUUAAAGGCAUAAUAGCUCUUGUGCAAGGAAUGAGGCACUGUGGCACAGUCUCUCUAAAUCUUACCUGGCUCUUUUAAAACAAUUUAUGCAUAACCAGCUCUUUAUAAAGACAGCUAUGCCUACAGAGUCCCAGGUUAGCCAAAUAAUCAUUAGAAUCUGUUCAUUAUUAGAAAUCUUUAAUUUCAGCUGUGAUCGCAAAUUUCAACUGAAUGCAAAAUACUCUAAAUUUGAAGAGAUGCCUCCUCUUCAUUCUUGGUAUGGCAACUCAUUUGUAAGAAUAGAGCUGGUGGGCAGCAUGCAGAAACCAAUGUGGGGAGUUUUCUGUGGAGACGUGUUUGUUAGGGUACCCUGAUCUUACUUGUAAAGCAUCCCACACAUGCCAUAACGAUACUCAUAAUGCACACAUGUGACGAGCACCGGCUAUUCUUGACCCCUGCUAAAUAUGGUUAGCACCACAAACAUCAUUUUAUAAGGCAAGCAGACAUAAUAUGUAAACAGCCAAGAUGUAUCACCCUUACUACUUUAUCAUUCCCCCUUUUCGGCACUGUGAAAUGAACAUUUGCCCAGCAGACUCAUCAGUGCCCAGGCACUGGGUUGCCAGAAUGUGACGACAUGUUACAGAACAUGGAAGCAUAAUGGCACAUGAAAUAUUGCAUAUAAAAUCAAGCAGCAGCAAGCUCUAAAUGGGACUCAGUCCAGAAACACAACUGGAUGGCAAAGCCUGGGUGGCGAGGGACACCUCCACCAUCAUCUGCUUUCUCCAAGGGCCUGAGUGACUGAUCUUCUGAGUGACGUCUGAGUCUAGAUUAUGAUUAUUGUACCAUGUGUCAAUUAUUACAAAUUUGACCCAAUCUGAGGAGGGUUAACUCAUCCCCAUACUUGCAAGGCCAGGCACCAGUGAGACUUCAUGACAUCUAGCAUCAGUGCUGAGUGGGAUAUUUCUGCAUGCCUUGGUCAUACCACCACAAUAGCUAUGACUGGGGUCAAGACAGGCCUUAACCAUCAGAUCAUUAUUCUGCAGUGGAUGAGCAUGCAGCUGGGGAAAGGAUGGCUGGCUUUUAUGGUUCAUAGUAGCAAGAAGGUUAGCUCACCUGUGAAUGACUGCAAACAGGUCCUCAGUAGUGCGAGGUUUGUUGGGAGACACAAAAACGUCCUCAGCUUCAGCCUGAGAGUCUUCACUCAGUGGGGACAUGAUGGAGUCGUCGCUUGGUGAAGACUCUGAGAUAAGUACAGAAACCAUGGUUAGAGUCAGACCACUGCUGUAUUCUGAAAGAGCACUGCUAGUGCAAAGCAUAAGCUCAAUGUGUAAGCAAGUGGCCAAUGCUGGCCAUACAGACUUCAUCCUCUAAUCUCUGAGUGGUUGCUGUGCUGUCAUCCCAGGAGGGCUAACUGAGGCCUGUCACGUUGUGCAACGCCUCCAGGUCCCCAGUCGUUCAUCCUGAUGUCAGUGACACCCCCCACCGCAGAAUGAACUGCAACACAGAAAAGAGGACCCAACUGACCUUUCAGAGAUGGUUCUUCUGUUCCACCCGCUGUCUCGUCUGCCCUGCUGGUACCAGAGGCACUUCUGGUAGGAAUACCUGAUGUGACGUUCUCCUGCUUGCAACUGGCUUCACUGAGCAAGUUUACUGCUGCCGUCUCUGAUUCGUAGCUGAUAUUCCCAGGCACGUGGUGGCUUAAAUCGAGUUGGUGCUUAAGCUGAUCACUGACAUCUGCUCCCUCUGCCUGGGCGGGGCUGUCACCCGCCAUGCCGAGCUCCAGCUGCUGCUCACUGCCACAGAGCUCAGGCUGGGCCUGUGCAUGCUCGAGGCGGCUCUCCGGUUCUGCUCCCCUGUUUUCAUUCUCUGCUUCAUGAUCACCUGUGAGGAGAGCUGAGCCUUUCUGAAAUCCUUCUGUAGAAACUGCACAAGUCUGAUUUAGAGCACUGUCUGGCAAAUGCUCAGUGGCUGGGCUUAUUUGGUCCUUCACAGUUUUCAUUUCAACCAGAGCCACACCUGCUGAAGGUACAAUUUCCUGCUCACAAUUACUCUGUCCACUGAAGGAGGAGCUUUUUUCUAAAGAUGGCUUCCCAGGACCUGUUUCUGCUGGGGAAGAGUCGAUAUACGACAUGAUGGCCUCCUCAGUGGAGUACUGCCGUGAUACUGGCUUCUUGGCUAGGAGUGGCCUCAUUUUCCCUGGCGAAACAUCACCAGCCAGCAGUGUGGGCUCUUGGAUGCAAAGCAAGUCGGGGAUACUGCCCUUCUGCUUCAUUUCUUCAGGCCUGUUGAUGGCCCUGAGGUGCACAGACUUGAGGACGGAGGGGGUGAUGGCAAGGGCAGAGGGAUGGCUGGGGCUGAGGGCUUCUCCCACUGCGCUGUGCUUGCUGGGAUUGAAGGCGUGCAGCUGGUGCCGGUGAGCAAACGGUUUAUUCAAGACGCUGUGAAGAGCACUUAGGUCAAGAUGGGUCGGAGGUAUAAUUGGGAGUUCGAGGUCUUUGCUUGCAGACAUGGUGCCAUCUUUAGUGAGCGGCUGUUGGAGUGAGGACUUCCUUUCGGGUACUUUUGGCUUCCUCUUGCUGCCUCCUGGGGACAGUGGUCCAGAGAAGAAAGCGGUCGGGAAGGAAGAGGUCGGCGUCUCCGACUGGCUGGAGUACCCGCUGGACGGCGAGGCCAGCCCCGCCAGUUUCUCUGGGGAUGCCAGUUUAAACUCGCUGUCAACGGAAGGCAGGGAUGGGGUGGUGGCCCGCGAACCGGACUGGGAUGUCUGGGACUCCGAGCUUUCUGGUGACUUGAUGCACUCUAUGACUGUGGUACCCGUAGCAGUGCUCGAAUUAGAUAAAGACCUGUAAGGAUCACCAGAUUUCAAGUCAUUCAGGAGCCAGAGGUCUGCAUAGUGAGGUUGUUCAGCACCGUCAUCUUUGAAGGAUGGCAUGUCAGCCAUAUCGAACUGAGUGUCCUUCAUGCCGCCAUCGCUCUGGCUCACCCAGGGCAGCUCGGGUUUGGGUGGAAGGCUAGAGGCCUCUGCUCUGGAAGGUGUGUUGGAAAACUCAAGUGGCAGCUUCAUUUCCCUGGCAGUGUGCGACGUGUGCUGCCCACUGCUAAUCUUUGGUUCUUUCUUCUCGGGAAGAUCCAUGCUGCCCUCAGAUUUCCUCAAAGAUGAGCUGCGUUUUGGUGGAGCUGGCUUUGCCUUUGGUUUCUUCAGAGAGAUGCCCUGCCGUCCCUGCCUCCUGUGACUGAUGCAUUCCUGCCAGGUGCAGUCGGCCAGGCUGGAGGUCAUGCUUGCCAUCUGGCCGCUCUCAGAGCCUGCAGCUGCAUAGUUGCAAAUAUAGCUCUUGUUGCCCUUGAGACCGCAGUCAAAGUGCAUGGAGGUAUAGUAUCCUUCAGUAUCCACAGAGAAGUGUGAGCUAGUGUCUGCCUUGUCAGAGGGGCUCUUCUCUAGGAAGCUGUCAUAUGUGCCCAUGCUUGUGAAGCUCGGGCAUCCCAGGCUGUCAGCCUUGGUGCGCUCGGGGCUGAAGUCCUGGCGACAGGAUGCAUCAUGGUGGUGAUGCAGAUAGUUCCACUCACUGUCACUAGUGUUGCUGUUGUUGGGGUCAUCGAGUAGAUCUGCCACAGUGGAGGUGAAGGAGCUCGCCCUGUGGCCUCUGACCUUGUCCACGUGGUCACCGUACUGUUCUGUGAUGAAGACACUUGAGUCCUCGUUGGCGUUGGGAGCGGUGUUGAGGGACAGCUCAGAGUCACAGUGCGAGGAGCCAGUCAGCGGUGGAGAGGCGGCAGGAGGAAUGGUUUCGGAUGUCUGAGAGGGACACGUGGAGCUGCUCCCACUCCAGUUGCCGCUGGAGGACUGGUGAUCGUCCUUCUGAUCCAUGUGGCUGCUAAGCAGGACUCCUGCUGUGGAGAUGGAGUGAAUGGGGCUCCCAAAAGUGUCUGAGUUGGAUGAAAUCUCGCAGCUUCCUGAAUCUGCCAUCCUUGACAGUCGCGACCUCCCUCUCUCACCGAUGCUGUGUUCAGGGCUGUGCAGAUGUUGAGGACAAGUUAAACCCAGGGGCUGAUGCUCCUGUGAACCCUGUUUGCUCAGGACCUCCUUCCCUUUUUUCGGGUGCCUCUCCUGGCUGGCUAGGAAGCACUCCGCUUCAUACGCUGAACUCUUGGUGGUAGCAGCUGUGUCACCCUCACUGGCUCUUGCUCCCUCACGAGGGAGGCUCCGCGAGCGGAUGCGGUUGCUGACAGCAGCAGCGAAGACGGCAUCCCCGUUGUCCGCCAGCACCAAAAUGUUGCCAGCAGAGUGUGAGAGGGAGGCAACCACACUCUGCCCCCUCUGUGCGCGGAUGCGGCGCCGGGAGGGAGCGGCGAUAAGGAUUUCUUCUGUCUGGCACUCCGAGUCCCUGGUCCCUGACCGUCGGCUGCUGGCACUGGAGAAGUCCGGGUUGGCAUGCACAAUCACAUUGCGCUCCCUUGCCACAGGCGACUCAUCCGAAUCUAGGGUACACGUAAAGCUGGGUGAGAGACCGUUUCGUACGUCCUGACAUGAGACGACCCACAAAGCAACCCAAGAAGCAUAUCUGCAUUUAAUCUUGCUGAGUGUUGUACCAAACCUAACUCAGCUAUAACAUGUAUAUACGGCAGACCUCAUCCCAAUGAGGUGGGAAAUUCUCCCAGUCCUGCAAUGUGAUAUCAGUUCUCCUAUUUCUGCAAUGUGAUCUCACGUAGAGCUGAUCUUGCUGUGGUAAAUAUUAAGAUGAAUAUUAACUUUCUGUUUUUUGUCACUGUAGUGCAAGUAGCUGCAGGCAGUUUUCAGGAUUAGCUGCCUGACAAAAUGCUCUAUAAACUUCUAAAAAUAAUUCUGUUUUAACUACAUAUCUUUUCAGAAUUUCCAUUAUCCGCUUCUUUCCUACCAAGAAUAUUUGCACAGUAACAGGAUCUUUGUUUCAUAGGUUCUCUGGUUGCUUGUUCCCUAUGAUAAACACAUUCUUUAUGCUUCCGAUUAAAUUUCACAGCAACCGACUGAAGUAUCAGAGCCACCUUCAGGUGCAGAUGAACAUUAAGUAAUA
rnacentral:lncRNA from 1 species